AAAAAAUCUAUACAUUGCUUGAAUCUGUUAGAAAUACAGUAUAAAAUCAUGCAUAGAUGGCACUUAGUGCCAGAAAAAUUAAACAAGAUGUAUGAGAAUUGCCCAACCUCCUGCUGGAAAUGUAAGUCAGAGACUGGUUCCUAUACCCAUGUCUGGUGGACCUGUCCUAGGUUGGAUAAAUACUGGGAUUUGGUCACUUCAAUUUUAGAAAAUUUUAAGAUUAGGGGAAUC